GUAGGGAAUAUUGGGCAAUGGAGGCAACUCUGACCCAGCCAUGCCGCGUGCAGGAUGAUGGCCCUCUGGGUUGUAAACUGCUUUUAUACGGGAAGAAAAAAUACUACGUGUAGUAUACUGACGGUACCGUAAGAAUAAGGAUCGGCUAACUCCGUGCCAGCAGCCGCGGUAAUACGGAGGAUCCAAGCGUUGUCCGGAUUUAUUGGGUUUAAAGGGUGCGUAGGCGGAUCUUUAAGUCAGUGGUGAAAGCCUGCAGCUUAACUGUUGAAUUGCCAUUGAAACUGAAGAUCUUGAAUGUGGUUAAAGUAGGCGGAAUGUAUCAUGUAGCGGUGAAAUGCUUAGAUAUGAUACAGAACACCGAUAGCGAAGGCAGCUUGCUGAACCAUUAUUGACGCUGAGGCACGAAAGCGUGGGGAGCGAACAGGAUUAGAAACCCUUGUAGUCC
rnacentral:rRNA from 1 species